CAUUAUUCUUUCACUAACUGAAUUGGUCGUUAAGUGAGAACCGCCCUCUGAUCGGGUUGAAAUUCGCAUUCGCAUCACGACAUAGAUGCGAGGUACAGCUUUACUGUGCACAGAAACCAAGUCUCGCAUCCUUGUCACAGCGAUACGAAUGCAAAUUUCGCCCCCAACUAAUUUGUGUCUAAACUAAUGGCUGUUCAUAUUCAAAUCUUAUGCGCCAUGUAAUCUAAUGCGUAUUCAAAUUUUGGAAUAAUUAU